AGAAGUUUAAACGGCAAUUGGAUAAAUACUUGCAAAAACAUAACAUACAGGGAUAUAAUUUCUAAUUAGUGGGGUAAUAGCUGCUUGAUCCAAGGGGACAUCUGACUGCUAUUUUGGGGUCAAGAAGUAAUUUUUUUCCUAGUUUGUUGCAAAAUUGGAAGCGCUUCAGACUGUGGUUUUUUGCCUUCUUUUGGAUCAAUAGCAAAAACAUAUGUGAGGAAGGCUGAACUUGAUGGACUGUAGUCUCUUUUCAGCUAUGUAACAUAUACACACAUAUAUACACAUA